AAAACCCGCAAGGCCGACGGCACCCCGCCGCCGCUGGUGCAAGUCCAGCCGCCCCCCCGCCGGGGCGGGCGCUCAUGGGUAAACC
rnacentral:ribozyme from 1 species